CCUACGGGUGACAGCAGUGAGGAAUAUUGGUCAAUGGACGAGAGUCUGAACCAGCCAAGUAGCGUGAAUGAUGACUGCCCUAUGGGUUGUAAACUUCUUUUAUAUGGGAAUAAAAUGUUCCACGUGUGGGAUUUUGUAUGUACCAUAUGAAUAAGGAUCGGCUAACUCCGUGCCAGCAGCCGCGGUAAUACGGAGGAUCCGAGCGUUAUCCGGAUUUAUUGGGUUUAAAGGGAGCGUAGGUGGAUUGUUAAGUCAGUUGUGAAAGUUUGCGGCUCAACCGUAAAAUUGCAGUUGAAACUGGCAGUCUUGAGUACAGUAGAGGUGGGCAGAAUUCGUGGUGUAGCGGUGAAAUGCUUAGAUAUCACGAAGAACUCCGAUUGCGAAGGCAGUUCACUGGACUGCAACUGACACUGAGGCGCGAAAGUGUGGGUAUCAAACAGGAUUAGAUACCCUGGUAGUC
rnacentral:rRNA from 1 species